UGUGUGUGUGUGUGUGUGUGUGUGUGUGUGUGUGUGUAUGCGCGCGCGCGCGCGCGUGCGUGCGCGCACGCGCAUGUGAACACAGCAGG
rnacentral:miRNA from 1 species